rnacentral:sRNA from 1 species
UAAAAUAAAUGCUAAAUAUACAUGAAGAUGUGAAAAACAUGUUGGAUUUGUGGAAUCGUUAAUGACCACGGUUAAAUGGCGGGAUCCAAAAUCUGGUUAGAUUUCACAACGCCAUAUUAAUUUAGUAUUUAUA